rnacentral:tRNA from 1 species
GGGCGAUUAACUCAGCGGCUAGAGUGCCACCCUUACAAGGUGGAGGUCAGGGGUUCGAAUCCCUUAUCGCCCA